rnacentral:rRNA from 1 species
GACAUCUGGUGGAGACUGUUGAAGCCCCCUGGUCCCAGCGGACCCCGGAAGGCGGACACAUUCGCGGGUGCCGGAACAAGGUCGUUAUGGGUGAAGCCCAGUGCCAGAUGUGU